GACGAACCGUGCGAACGUUAUUCGGAAUCACUGGGCUUAAAGCGCGUGUAGGCGGGCGGGUACGUCGGCGACUGAAAGCCCCCGGCUCAACCGGGGAAGUGGUGCCGAAACGGCCGGCCUGGAGGGGCGUAGGGGGACCUGGAACUUCCGGUGGAGCGGUGAAAUGCGUUGAGAUCGGAAGGAACGCCCGUGGCGAAAGCGAGGUCCUGGACGCCAUCUGACGCUGAGACGCGAAAGCCAGGGGAGCGAACGG
rnacentral:rRNA from 1 species